rnacentral:rRNA from 1 species
GACGAACGCUGGCGGCGUGCUUAACACAUGCAAGUCGAACGGAAAGGCCUUUUCGGAGGUACUCGAGUGGCGAACGGGUGAGUAACACGUGGGUGAUCUGCCCUGCACUCUGGGAUAAGCCUGGGAAACUGGGUCUAAUACCGGAUAGGACCGCACUUUAGUGUGUGUGGUGGAAAGUUUUUUCGGUGUAGGAUGAGCCCGCGGCCUAUCAGCUUGUUGGUGGGGUAAUGGCCUACCAAGGCGGCGACGGGUAGCCGGACUGAGAGGUUGGUCGGCCACAUUGGGACUGUGAUACGGCCCAGACUCCUACGGGAGGCAGCAGUGGGGAAUAUUGCACAAUGGGCGCAAGCCUGAUGCAGCGACGCCGCGUGGGGGAUGACGGCCUUCGGGUUGUAAACUCCUUUCGCCAGGGACGAAGCGUUUUGUGACGGUACCUGGAGAAGAAGCACCGGCUAACUACGUG